CCGUCAUCAUGAGAUGAUGCUGAACGCGCAGAAGUCAGCAGAGGCCAUAGUAGCCGAGAGGUGAAGGG
rnacentral:ncRNA from 1 species